GGGUUGUGAGGUUAAGCGACUAAGCGUACACGGUGGAUGCCCUGGCAGUCAGAGGCGAUGAAGGACGUGCUAAUCUGCGAUAAGCGUCGGUAAGGUGAUAUGAACCGUUAUAACCGGCGAUUUCCGAAUGGGGAAACCCAGUGUGUUUCGACACACUAUCAUUAACUGAAUCCAUAGGUUAAUGAGGCGAACCGGGGGAACUGAAACAUCUAAGUACCCCGAGGAAAAGAAAUCAACCGAGAUUCCCCCAGUAGCGGCGAGCGAACGGGGAGCAGCCCAGAGCCUGAAUCAGUGUGUGUGUUAGUGGAAGCGUCUGGAAAGGCGCGCGAUACAGGGUGACAGCCCCGUACACAAAAAUGCACAUGCUGUGAGCUCGAUGAGUAGGGCGGGACACGUGGUAUCCUGUCUGAAUAUGGGGGGACCAUCCUCCAAGGCUAAAUACUCCUGACUGACCGAUAGUGAACCAGUACCGUGAGGGAAAGGCGAAAAGAACCCCGGCGAGGGGAGUGAAAAAGAACCUGAAACCGUGUACGUACAAGCAGUGGGAGCACGCUUAGGCGUGUGACUGCGUACCUUUUGUAUAAUGGGUCAGCGACUUAUAUUCUGUAGCAAGGUUAACCGAAUAGGGGAGCCGAAGGGAAACCGAGUCUUAACUGGGCGUUAAGUUGCAGGGUAUAGACCCGAAACCCGGUGAUCUAGCCAUGGGCAGGUUGAAGGUUGGGUAACACUAACUGGAGGACCGAACCGACUAAUGUUGAAAAAUUAGCGGAUGACUUGUGGCUGGGGGUGAAAGGCCAAUCAAACCGGGAGAUAGCUGGUUCUCCCCGAAAGCUAUUUAGGUAGCGCCUCGUGAAUUCAUCUCCGGGGGUAGAGCACUGUUUCGGCAAGGGGGUCAUCCCGACUUACCAACCCGAUGCAAACUGCGAAUACCGGAGAAUGUUAUCACGGGAGACACACGGCGGGUGCUAACGUCCGUCGUGAAGAGGGAAACAACCCAGACCGCCAGCUAAGGUCCCAAAGUCAUGGUUAAGUGGGAAACGAUGUGGGAAGGCCCAGACAGCCAGGAUGUUGGCUUAGAAGCAGCCAUCAUUUAAAGAAAGCGUAAUAGCUCACUGGUCGAGUCGGCCUGCGCGGAAGAUGUAACGGGGCUAAACCAUGCACCGAAGCUGCGGCAGCGACGCUUAUGCGUUGUUGGGUAGGGGAGCGUUCUGUAAGCCUGUGAAGGUGUGCUGUGAGGCAUGCUGGAGGUAUCAGAAGUGCGAAUGCUGACAUAAGUAACGAUAAAGCGGGUGAAAAGCCCGCUCGCCGGAAGACCAAGGGUUCCUGUCCAACGUUAAUCGGGGCAGGGUGAGUCGACCCCUAAGGCGAGGCCGAAAGGCGUAGUCGAUGGGAAACAGGUUAAUAUUCCUGUACUUGGUGUUACUGCGAAGGGGGGACGGAGAAGGCUAUGUUGGCCGGGCGACGGUUGUCCCGGUUUAAGCGUGUAGGCUGGUUUUCCAGGCAAAUCCGGAAAAUCAAGGCUGAGGCGUGAUGACGAGGCACUACGGUGCUGAAGCAACAAAUGCCCUGCUUCCAGGAAAAGCCUCUAAGCAUCAGGUAACAUCAAAUCGUACCCCAAACCGACACAGGUGGUCAGGUAGAGAAUACCAAGGCGCUUGAGAGAACUCGGGUGAAGGAACUAGGCAAAAUGGUGCCGUAACUUCGGGAGAAGGCACGCUGAUAUGUAGGUGAAGUCCCUCGCGGAUGGAGCUGAAAUCAGUCGAAGAUACCAGCUGGCUGCAACUGUUUAUUAAAAACACAGCACUGUGCAAACACGAAAGUGGACGUAUACGGUGUGACGCCUGCCCGGUGCCGGAAGGUUAAUUGAUGGGGUCAGCGCAAGCGAAGCUCUUGAUCGAAGCCCCGGUAAACGGCGGCCGUAACUAUAACGGUCCUAAGGUAGCGAAAUUCCUUGUCGGGUAAGUUCCGACCUGCACGAAUGGCGUAAUGAUGGCCAGGCUGUCUCCACCCGAGACUCAGUGAAAUUGAACUCGCUGUGAAGAUGCAGUGUACCCGCGGCAAGACGGAAAGACCCCGUGAACCUUUACUAUAGCUUGACACUGAACAUUGAGCCUUGAUGUGUAGGAUAGGUGGGAGGCUUUGAAGUGUGGACGCCAGUCUGCAUGGAGCCGACCUUGAAAUACCACCCUUUAAUGUUUGAUGUUCUAACGUUGACCCGUAAUCCGGGUUGCGGACAGUGUCUGGUGGGUAGUUUGACUGGGGCGGUCUCCUCCUAAAGAGUAACGGAGGAGCACGAAGGUUGGCUAAUCCUGGUCGGACAUCAGGAGGUUAGUGCAAUGGCAUAAGCCAGCUUGACUGCGAGCGUGACGGCGCGAGCAGGUGCGAAAGCAGGUCAUAGUGAUCCGGUGGUUCUGAAUGGAAGGGCCAUCGCUCAACGGAUAAAAGGUACUCCGGGGAUAACAGGCUGAUACCGCCCAAGAGUUCAUAUCGACGGCGGUGUUUGGCACCUCGAUGUCGGCUCAUCACAUCCUGGGGCUGAAGUAGGUCCCAAGGGUAUGGCUGUUCGCCAUUUAAAGUGGUACGCGAGCUGGGUUUAGAACGUCGUGAGACAGUUCGGUCCCUAUCUGCCGUGGGCGCUGGAGAACUGAGGGGGGCUGCUCCUAGUACGAGAGGACCGGAGUGGACGCAUCACUGGUGUUCGGGUUGUCAUGCCAAUGGCACUGCCCGGUAGCUAAAUGCGGAAGAGAUAAGUGCUGAAAGCAUCUAAGCACGAAACUUGCCCCGAGAUGAGUUCUCCCUGACUCCUUGAGAGUCCUGAAGGAACGUUGAAGACGACGACGUUGAUAGGCCGGGUGUGUAAGCGCAGCGAUGCGUUGAGCUAACCGGUACUAAUGAACCGUGAGGCUUAACCUUACAACGCCGAAGCUGUU
rnacentral:rRNA from 1 species